UCAAGGAGAGAGAGAGAGAGUGAAGGAACGAGCUCUAGCCACCAUCGUUCACCUUUUCUGUUGCCAGUGCCGAUUUCGGCCAAAUCCGGCCAAAAUUUUUACACCAUCCUCUUCCUCUCCUCAUGGGCUUUCUAUCCAUAUAAGUUUCAUAAUUUAUUUUCACUUGUGUGCAACGAAUCAAAGGAGAGAAGGUUUGAUAAUUCUUGGCUAAUUUCCCGAUUUCCGGCCAAGCCAUCGACUUUUUGGAGAAACCCCAAGGUAAUCCGGUUGAGCAAGCUUCCGAGGACAUUCCCGAGAUGGGACUCACCUAGUCACCCGCCAUUGUAGUAGAUUUUGCUGAGGUCGGACCGCACCACGUUGAGGCAUUCUCCUUAUCCACCGUCAUCCAUCUUGACUUGUAGGAUUUGCUUCCUUUCGUACUUUUAUAUUUCUUACUUAAUUAGACCAUGUAACUUAUGCUCUGAUGUAACCAUAAAUUGACUACUGGAUUCCUACGAUGUAAUUGUUGGGUUAGAACCCCUGGCUUUGGUUGGUGGUGGAUGUUUCUUUUUUUUGUGG